GACGAACCGUGCGAACGUUGUUCGGAAUCACUGGGCUUAAAGGGCGCGUAGGCGGAUCGACCAGUCUGUGGUGAAAUCCUUCAGCUUAACUGGAGAAGUGCCAUGGAUACUGUCGGUCUCGAGGAGGAUAGGGGCAUCUGGAACUGCCGGUGGAGCGGUGAAAUGCGUUGAUAUCGGCAGGAACUCCGGUGGCGAAGGCGAGAUGCUGGAUCCUUUCUGACGCUGAGGCGCGAAAGCCAGGGGAGCAAACGGGAUUAGAUACCCCGGUAGUCCUGGCCCUAAACGAUGAGAACUAGAUAGCGAGGGAGACAUGCCCCCGCUGUCGGAGCAAAAGUGUUAAGUUCUCCGCCUGGGGAGUAUGGUCGCAAGGCUGAA
rnacentral:rRNA from 1 species